rnacentral:miRNA from 1 species
AUAUAAAUCACACAGAGAUCUUGUUAAAAUGCAGAUUUUAGGCCAGAAUCCCAGAGAUUCUGUUUCAGUAGGCUUGAAAUGGGACCCUGUACUCUGCAUUUUUGACAAGCCUUCAGGUGAGAUUCUGAG